rnacentral:rRNA from 1 species
UGGGGAAUUUUGGACAAUGGGCGCAAGCCUGAUCCAGCCAUGCCGCGUGCAGGAUGAAGGCCUUCGGGUUGUAAACUGCUUUUGCACGGAACGAAAAGGUGCCUUCUAAUAAAGGGCGCUCAUGACGGUACCGUAAGAAUAAGCACCGGCUAACUACGUGCCAGCAGCCGCGGUAAUACGUAGGGUGCGAGCGUUAAUCGGAAUUACUGGGCGUAAAGCGUGCGCAGGCGGUUUUGUAAGACAGAGGUGAAAUCCCCGGGCUCAACCUGGGAACUGCCUUUGUGACUGCAAGGCUGGAGUGCGGCAGAGGGGGAUGGAAUUCCGCGUGUAGCAGUGAAAUGCGUAGAUAUGCGGAGGAACACCGAUGGCGAAGGCAAUCCCCUGGGCCUGCACUGACGCUCAUGCACGAAAGCGUGGGGAGCAAACA